AUUGGUAAUUUUCUAUCUUAAUUAUAUUAUUAACAAGGUUUCUCUAUAUAAUACUUAAUAGAGUUUUGCGUUUCACGAUAGUUAUUAUUAAAGAAUAUUAGUACUUCAUUUUGACGUUCUUCUUUUUAUUAAGUAAUAAAAAGAACCUGAUGAAUGGGAAAGAAGGAUAUUAUUUGUAAUACAUAAACAAAUAAUUAUAUUUAACAUAAAGUAAUUUAUUUAAUCAUCUAACUUUUUGUCUACUUUUAGCUUUUACGUUCUUAUAAAAAGUAGUAAGGUUUUUACUCUAAGGAUGAGAAGAACGUAAAAAUACAAGGAAAUUUUAUUUUAUAAAAAGAUAUAAAAUUCAUAUUGAUAUUAUAAAAAAAGAGUUCACCGCUUUUCAAUAAAAAUAAGUAUAACAUAAAAAGUUAUACUUAUUUUACUAUUAGGAUUUUAUAGUUCACCCCCGCCUGUCCGUUUUGGAAGGGAAAUGUUCUAUUCCGGCCUUCUUUUUAAUUAUAAUAAUGAGGAUGAAAUAAAGAAGGCUUACUACCCUUUUUAAGGCUAAUAUUCCGAGGUUUUAGGUGAGGCAUACAACUACUUCUCUAUAUUUUAUAUAAUAAACAAGUUGAAAAAAUAUGACCAAGGUAACUAAAAAAGAGGCCGCAGGUCUUAAAAAGGUUAUAAAAGGAAAGGGAAAAAGAGAGACUCUUUUUCCCUUUCCUUUGCCUGAAAACGAAUCAUAGAAAUGUUACUAAUAGUAGCCAAUGCUAUGGGACGUUUUUCUUAUAUUACUUUUUUAAAUUAACUACAAUACAAUAUGAGAAGUAAAAGUACUGUAAAUAGCACGGGGCAAUUUUAUUUUACUUUUUUCGCUCCAUUAUAUUUAUUUGUAUAAAAUUAGAAAUAUCAGUAAAUAAAACAAAAAUAACCUCUGUCCCUUUGUCUCUUUUAUUUGUAAUAGAGAAAGCAUAAAGUAAGGCUAAGAUCGUAGACCUUCUCCCUUUUCGUUUUAACUUUAUUAUUAUUUUAAUUAUGUUCCUGAACUUUUAUAUCCACGGACAUAAAAGCCUAAUCCUUGAGGGAUUUAAAAUAAAAAAAAAGGAUAUAAUUAGAUAUGGUUUUAUUUAGUAAUAAAAUAAAUUAGUAUUGCUAAACUUAAUAUGUUAUUCAUACUUACAUUAGCAACCUAUAAUAUAAAUAAACAAAAAUAUAGGUUAUUUGUUAUAUUAAAAUGUUUAUUAUUAAUUAUUAUAAUCAGUAAGAAAUGAUCAUUUUCUUAUUUAUUAGAAUUUACAGAGAGGUGCUUCGUGCUUAAGAUGCUUUCAGCACUUAUCUAUCAUGAUUGUAGCUACCCUACUAUGCUUUAUUUAUACUUUAUAUAUUUAUAGAUUGAAAUCUAUAAGAAUAAAUGGGUAUAGAUAUUAUACAAUAGGUACACUAUUGAAUCAUCUUUAAUGGUCCUUUCGUACUAAUUAAAGGUUCUCUUUCAAUUAUUUAUAUCUUCAGAAGAUAGGGACCAUACUGACUCACGUCGUAUUGACAAAUAUUAUUAUGAAUUAAAAUUUGGUAAGGGAAGAUCAUACGUCUCCCCUAGACCUUAUUAUAUUCAAAGCCUUUGAAUUCCAAUGAUUUACAUCAUUGAUUAGACUAUUUCUUCAAUAAAUUACACUAUAACAAUGUAAUUUAUUGCUGGACACUUUAUAUCGGAUUAUUGCUAAUGCAGCUCACCAAGUAGUCGUUGAACGUUUUAUUCUCUACAAUCUAUGCUUAAUCUAAUUAGAAUUAAGAUUAGAAGGGCAUUGAGAAUAACUUCGCUGCAGAUAAACUAACAAUUAGUUUAGUUUUUCCUGCAAUUCAUCCAGUUUUAUUUGGGCUCAAUACUUUUUUUUUUAUAAACUUUGGUAAGAUUAAAAAUUAAUGAAAACAAAAUACAUAUAAUGUGGGGGGAUCUUAUCUAAAUAGAAUAAAAGUCCUAUACGAUAUAGCAUACUGUUGUGCAUAUGAGGCAUAAGAAUUGUCUGUACUUUUUUUAGUUCAAUUUUGGCAAUAGUCAGAAUGUAUUGUUUUUUCUGAUAAGAACCGAUACGGUCAAAUAGAACUUCACAUUGAAUCCCACAACCUUCACGAAUUCUGUUUCGUAGAAUAAUACAUUCAUCAUAUGAAUAAUAAUUAGUGUAAAUACGAAUACGACCAUCUUUAUAAUAAUUACCGUCACCCAUAAUGAAAUGGGCUAGUACUACAGGAUUUAUUUUAAUAUUCUCAGGAAUUAUCUUAAUAUAUUUGUUUUCAUCGUAGCGAUAAAAUGUAUUAUGAUAAUCAUUAAAAAUAGGUAGUGUUUUCGUUUUUAGACGAUAAUUUACAUAUGAUUUUUCUUUUCUAUUAACUGUCACAGUAUAAAUUCCUUUUGAAGAGUAGUCUGAGAAAAGAGAUCUAAUUCAAUUGGCGUAUUCUAGAUAAGAAGAACCAAAGGAAAAAGACAUUCGACAAUUUACUUUUAUUUUCUCAAGGUGAGCAUCACCAAGGAUUUGUCCCGUAAUAAUAUAGUGUAGUUUAUUGUUCAUUUUGUCUGUAUUUUUUAAUCUGGUAAAAUUUAUAAUGUUAUUAUUGUCAUAAGUAAUAAUAAACCCAACUCGCGUACCUCUUUAAUCAGCGAACAGCUGAACCCUUCCAAGCUACUACACCUGGAGGAUGAGAUGAGUCGACAUCGAGGUGUCAAACCGUUUGGACAAUAUGAACUCUCGCAAACGAUAAACCUGUUAUCCCUAGCGUAACUUUUAUUUCUUGAGCGAUAAUCAUUCCAUUAAGGAUUACCGGAUCACUAUGUCCUAUUUGCAUAUCUGAUCGAUUUAUCAAUCUUUCAGUUAAGUAUGUUUUAUCAUUAUAUUUUAUUAAAUUAUUCAUAAUUUAUUGGUUUCUGACCAAUAUAUACAUACCUUUGAAGGCCUCUGAUACUUUAUUAGAGGCUACCGUCCCAGUCAAACUGACAAUUUGACAUUUUCCCAAAAUCUUAAAGAGCAUUGCCCUUCUAAUUUAUUUUGGUAAGUUUUUUUGUUCUAUUAAUCAAGGUAUUUCACUGACGUAAAGUAUUUACUCCCUUGUAUUCUACACUUAAAGAACGAAAAGACAAUAUCAAACUACAGUAAAGUUGCAUAGGGUCUUCCCGUCUACCUGAAGACAAACCGCAUCUGCACGGCUAAUUCAAUUUCACUGAGAUACUUGUGGAGACAGCAGAGCCACGUUACCUCAUUCAUGCAGGACCACAUUUAAUGGCCAAGGAAUUUUGCUACUUUCAGAUCCUUAUAGUUAAGACCGCCAUUCACCACAGUGUCGAUUAAUGACAUAAAAUCAUCUUUUUUAUACUAUGUGGCAUCGGGCAGAGUUCACAACUUAUACAAAUACUAAAUGUCUUAGCAAGUUGCUGUGUUUUUGGUAAACAGUCGCAGCUCUCGAUUUUGUGUCACACAUUGUAUGUAUAAAAAUAUACAUAAAAUGGUUAUCCUUAUUGUCGAACGUACGGAUACAUUUUGCCGAGUUCCUUCACAAGUAUUAUCUCUACACCUUAGUAUUCUCUACCUACGAACCUGUGUCGGAUUAGGGUACGGUUUAUAAAAUUUUAUAUAAAUAAGAUAACGUAGCUUCUACAAAGUUUUUUAAAAAAGUUUAGCUACAGUAUUAUUUAGAUAUUAUUUUUAUCAUUAAUUUCUUGAUAUAGGACAGAAGUCUAACUCCCCCCUCUUAUUUUAUUCUCUUUGUCUUUUCAUAUAUAAAAAUGGUAGACGAUAUAGAAUAAAAAGUUUUAAUGUCAUCAGAUAUAUAUGGUCAUAUAUAUGCCUUAGAAACCGAUUAACUCAUAGCAGAUUAACUUAUCUAUGAAACCCUUUCGUUUUCGGUGAGGGAUAUUCUAAUCCCUUUCUACGUUACUCAUGUCAGCAUUUUCUCUUUAGUAUUUUCCAAUUUAUCAAUAAAUACAAAUUUUCAUUAUUAUACUAAAUGUUCUGCUACCCUCAUUUUAUUUUUAUUAUAUAUAUGCCUUUCUCUUACGUUUUUCUUUAAAAAAAAAAGAACAGUGUCCUUCUAGGUAAGAAUUAGCAAAAAGGCUGAAAUAAAAUAGACAAAGUAUAGGUAUAUUAUCUAAGACCCAAUAAAUUGUAGACGCUUUUUUCCAAUAUAAUUUACUUAUAGUUAGACCACUGAGUUGUUACACUAUCAUAAAAAGAUGGCUACCUCCAAGCCUACUUAAUGGUUGUAUUAGGAAAAAAACAUUCUUAUUUUCACUAAAUAAUAUUUAGGGACCUUAACUUUUGUUCUGGGCUGUUUCCCUUUUGUCUAUCCACCUUAUCAAGAAUAGACUGUACGUUUAUAAUCAAUUAUUUUUAUUCCGAGGUUAACCAUCAAUGGUAGAAUUUAGAAUCCCCCAAUUUAGUAUAUAAGUUUAUAUAUUAGAAGUUUAAUUCUAGUAUAUAAAUAUAACAUAUGAUGAUCAGUGCUGUACAAAAAAUAAUCUAUUAGCAUGAUUUUUACGUUCUGAUCCCCAAGGGGACUUAAUCUUUUUAAAUAUAUAAAGAGAAUAUCUUUAUAUGUUUAAAAAGUUUAUAUGUAUAUAUAAAAGAACGUAAGAUAGCUUAAGCUAAACAAAAAAAAUAUACUAAUAUUAUAAACAUCCUACCUAAAUAGGUUUCGCAGAAUACCAGCUAUCAACCAAGUUAGAUUAGCAUUUCACCCCUUACUACAAUUCAUCAAAGAAUUUUGCAACAUUCACUUGUUCGGUCAUUAUAUAUUUAAUACCUGAUCAUAGUAAGAUCACUUGGCUUCGGGUCUAAUUUUUAUAACUAAUCUGCAUAAUUAAUUUUAAACUUGUCUCUUCAAACAUGUUCUAGAAUAAAUAAAAAACCUGUAAAAACUUAUCUUAUUAAUCUUAAUCGGCAGAACCGACCAACUUUUUUUAUAUAAAAAAAGCAAAGACAAAAAAGCAAAUUAAUAUAGUAUCCUAUAUUAAUUUUGUUUCGACUAUUUUGCUUAUAUAUACUAAGUAAGUCUAGACAGAACUACACUAUCUCAUAUUUUCUAUAAAAUAUUUAUGCAAUCGCUUUCACUUAGACUAUUUGUCCUGCUAUAAAAAUUAACUCGCUGACCCAUUAUGCAAAAGGUACGUUAUUAUUCUAACUUAUAGAACUUUAACUGCUUAUAAAACUACUAGUUCAGAAUCUAUUUAACUAGUCAUCUACUUACUUUUCACCUUUCACUCACGUUACUCUUCUUUAUUGUUAUACAUGUUAUACUUAGCUUUAGAGGAUGGUACCCCUGUUUUCCUAAAAGGCUGACGUCCUCUUAGUACUUAUUAUUUAAGUAAAAUUAAAAUGAAAUAAUAUAUAAUAUUUCUAUCUUUUUAAUUUACUAUAAUUAAAAAUCUUGUAUAAAUAUGACCUACUAUUCAUUUUAAUUCUCUUCUAAUAUACCGCAGAAAAGGAUUGUGGCCUCUCUACAGAAUUUUUUUGUUGCUUAAUUAUUCUUCUAUAAGUUUUUGUUAUAAUAUAACUUUUUUCCUUACUCAAAUAAAAGCAAAUACCGUUCAAUCUUUGUAUAUAUAUAUGUAUAGACAAAGCCGAUGUAGAUUUACGAACAUUAUAAUAAUACUGGGCUAUAACCUUCUAUGGAAUACUACCUGUUAUUGUUUAUUAAGCCUAAAGAGCUAGUCUUAUUUUCAUUAUCAUAUGAUAAUAAGAUGGGGUAGCCCUUUUUUAUAUAUGGUUAGUUACCCUUUGUAAAAAAGUAAUUCCCCUUUUGAGCUUAAAAUACAUAAACUUAGUAUUUUAUUUAUUUCAAAAUAUUAUAUUAUAAAUCGCUCCGCGGAAAUUUUAUAAUCUAGAUGUGUAUUAAUAAAUUAUUAUCUAAAAAAAGACUUUUAUUUUUAUUCCCACUAUAGAAUAUAGAAUUUAUUAAUAGCUAUUUUGGUUUCACUCACCAUUACUUCCAAAGUCUCGGUUGAUUUCCUUUCCUAUUGAUACUGUAAUGUUUUACUUCUCAACGUAGUAAUGAAUUUAGGUUUUCCUUAGGAUUGUAUAUUAUUCUGAUUAUUUAAUAUACUUUUAGUUUUUUACUUCCUUUUAUUACAUAUAUACUAGGCAUCCCUAAUAGUUUCUUUAAUUACUAAAUAAUAUACUCCAUAUCAUUAUUGAUACUUAUAAUUAUAAAAAUAAUAUUAGUAAAUAAAUAGAUAAUAACUAUCUUAUUAUCUAGCUUUAUACUAAUACCCGUCAUAAUAUUAUAAUGCCUAGGAGAUUAAUUGUUAUUUAAUUUUUACAACAACUAAACCUAAACUUCCGAUAUUGUUAUUAUUAUAAUUAUUGUAUAGUAUUUAGACGGUGUACGUGUUUGUCUCACGCACGGAUUAUAUAUAAAGAGAGGUGAAAGACUCACAACCUAUCUUUUUUAUAUUUAUAUAUAAAGGGAGACUAUUUUUGUAAGAAACACGUGUAAUUAACUAUUAUUACAUUAUAUAAGUAAUAAUAUUAGAAUCAAAUAUAUAUUAUAAUAUAUCAAGAUGUUAUAUUGUACUUUAUAUAUGUAUAUAAAGCAAAGACAUAUUACGCCCAAUACUUUUUUAACUUUAGGAUUUCUAAGUAUUUUAUAAUUAUCUUUUUUAAUAUGUAGAUAUUAAACAAUAAGGUGUAGUCUGUACAAUAUAACACUUAUUCUUUAUGGUGAAAUCUUAUAAAUUUUAUCCGCGGAGCCGACAACUUUCUUCUUUAUUAUUAAUAUUUUAUAUCCUAUCUAAGGAGGGAUAAGGAUUUCUUCUGUAUAUAUAUGAAAAAGGUACCAAAGAUUUUUACACACUUUAACUUUACAAGCUACCUAAAUUCUAUUUAAUAAAACGAAUUAAAUUUAGAGGUGCGAUAACCUGGACCCGAUUUCAAUAGAUACUUUUUAUCCUUAUCCUCCAAAGGCUACGCUUUUUAUCCCUAAAAAUAGAAAGGGAAAAGGCCAAGUAUAGUCGUAAACUCCCUUUCUUUAUGCUUAAAUUUGUGGACGUCAAUUAUAUCUAAAAACGUAAAAGAAGCCCACUAUGGUAAGGACCAAAAUCAUUGUAGAAGGCAUAAAUGAUGUAAAAGAAGUGUUUUGACAUAGGUAUAUACUCUGCUGAUAAAAAUAAAUAAGUUAAAGACUAAAUAAUAUAUUUUAUUACCCUACUUUUUGUUGAUAAUCGCUUACGGCGAAAAAAUUUGAUAUUUUCAAUAUACUAUUAUAAUA
rnacentral:rRNA from 1 species